rnacentral:lncRNA from 1 species
UAAAGGUAAUGCCAGCCCCUCCACCAAAGGAGAAUAAGUGGGUAAAGCGAAGCUCUAACCCUCCUGCUCGAUCUCAGAGCUCAGACACAGAGCAGCCGUCCCCUACAAGUGGUGGAGGGAAAGUUGCUCCAGCUCAGCCCUCUGAGGAAGGACCAUCAAGGAAAAAUGAAACUAAAGUGGAUGGGGUAAGCGCCACCAAAGGCCAGACUGGACACUCCAGCCGUGGUCCUGGGAAUGGAGGGAGCAGAGACCACUGGAAGGAGUUGGAUAAGAAGGACGGCAAAAAAAGAUCAAGACUUAGAUCUGCACUUGAGCCAAAGAAAUCUGAGGAGAACCCAGCCUCCAAGUUCAGUUCUGCAAGCAAGUAUGCUACUCUGUGGACGGUGAGGAUGAGAAUGAGGGAGACAACUGCACUGAGUAGACCUCCACACACUGUGCUUUCUCCUUGUCUCCACCCUGGAACAUUCAAGAGCAAAUCAAACCUCUAUCCAGACAAGACAAAAUAAACUCACCAUCUCCU